AAGGAUGGUAUAGAUUUACCUAGUGGUUCUCGGCCAGCGGCAGUUUUGCCCACCACACAUUUAACAAUGUUUGGAAACAUUCUGGUUGUCACAACUAGGGGAAGGGGUACUACUGAUACGUAGUGAAUAAUAGAAGCCAGAGAUGCUGCUAAACAUCUUACAGGGUUUAGCACAGGGUUGCCCGCUAAAGCAAAGAGGUACCUGGUACAAAACGUCAGUAGUGCUAAGGUUGAGAAAACCAUGGGUUAACCUAAAGAGUUAAGGAGACUAAAGCUAUGUUAUCCUUACUAGAUUAAUUUUGAGUGUUUGGUGAAUUUUAUGUGUUCUAGUAAGAAAUUGCCUAUUCAUCUGGUAAUUCCUCAAGGACCUUAAGAACAAAGAUAAAUUUGUGAUCUUUUUCUAAUUUAGGGCUUUAGGGAAACAUUUUUGAUAUUCCUAAAAUUUAAAGUUUAAAUUUAGUUUGCCUUUCUGUGACGUACUAAUGUGUUCCUUAGCCUCUUAUUUGAGCUUUUUGUGAGUUUCUUAUCAUGUUAGCAAAUAUUUUAGUAGUUUGUCUUCUAAUUUUGUUAUGGUGGUUUUUGACAUAAUUUUUUUUGUUAUUCAAACAUACCAGCCUUUAAUUUUGCUUUAUUUCAUUACUUUUAUCUGGAGAUAAGUGUCUACUAUAUUCAUUUACUGUUUUCAUGGGAAGAGUUUCUUGGGCUUCUGUGUUUGUUUUUCCUCCUUAGGUUAAUUUUGGUGUGUUGUUCUUAAAUAUUUAUCUGAAGUUGGUUACCCUCUUAUUGCGAAUAAGGAAGAAAAGAAUCAUAAAGGUUAAACACUUUGUCUGAAGUCACACAGCAACAGAGUGACAGAAGCAAAAAUCUCACCCAGAUCUAGACUCCAUUGUUCAUGCAGUUAUCACUAUUUCUGCCUCAAGUAUCUGUUGUUAGGAAUCUUUUCAUAGCCUUGAAAUUUAUCACUGAAAGCAGUACAUAUAAAACUUUUGCAUUGUGCCAGUUGUGAUUCACCAGCUUCCUGCAUGGGAAUUACCAAAAUGUUCCUUUAAAAUACGCUUUAGUGAACUGUAUCUUAGACCUGUGUAAUCAGGAUACUUGUGGUGAGACCUGGGAUCCUCUCUCUUACUGUUAAGGUAACACUGCUGUCUGCUAAAGUUGAAGAUUGUUCAUUUUAAUUUUGAUUUCUCCUCUGUGUCUCAUAAUCCAUUAUACAGUCAGCCCUCUGCAUCUGUGGGUUCAACCAACCGUGGAUUGAAACUGUUUGGGAAAAAUUUAACGUUUCCAAAAAGCAAAACUUGUGUUUACCCCACACCAGCAGCUCUUAAUAUUUACAUAUGAGUUGUGUUGUAUUAGGUAUUAUAAGUAAUCUGGAAGUGAUUAAAAAUAUAGAGAAGGAUGUGGAUAGGAUAUAUGCCAGUACUACGCCAUUUUAUAUGACUUGAGCAUCCAUGGGUUUUGGAAUCUGUGGAAGGGUCCUGGAAUCAGUUACUCCUGUGGCUACUGAGCGAUAACUGUACAAUGGCCAUAUUUUCUGGGAGCUAAAUCAGCAUGUAUUUCAGUUCCUUUAGCUGCUAGAAUAAAAUGUCUUUGAAAUCUUAGUAGUUUCUUUUAGGAUUGACUGGUUUGAUCCCCUUGCAGUCCAAGGGACUCUCAAGAGUCUUCUCCAACACCACAGUUCAAAAGCAUCAAUUCUUUGGCGCUCAGCCUUCUUUAUAGUCAAUUCUCACAUCUGUACAUGACUACUGGAAAAGCCAUAGCUUUAACUACACUGACCUUUGUCGGCAAAGUGUUGUCUCUACUUUUAAUACACUGUCUAGAUUUGUCAAGAUCUUCCCUGUAGCUCAGAUGGUAAAGAAUCUGCCUGCAAUGCAGGAGACCUGGGUUCGAUCCCUGGGUCAGGAAGAUGCUCUGGAGAGGGGAAUAGCAAUCCACUCCAGUAUUCUUGCCUGGAGAAUCCCAUGGAUAGAGGAACCUAACGGGUUGCAGUACAUGGGGUUGCAAAGAGUCGGACACAACUGAGCGACUAACACACACACACACACACACAAGGUUUGUCAUAGCUUUUCUUCCAAGGAGCAAGCAUCUUAUAAUUUCAUGGCUGCAGUCAUCAUCUGCAGUGAGUUUGGAGCCCAAGAAAAUAGUCUGUCACUGUUAGCAUAAUUUCACCAUCUAUUUGCUGUGAAGUGACAGGACCGGAUGCCAUGAUCUUCGAUUUUUGAAUGUUUCGUUUUAAGCCAGCUUUUUCACUCUCUUUCACCUUCAUCAAGAGGUUCUUUAGUUCCUCUUCACCUUCGGCCAUAAGGGUGGUGUCAUGUGCAUAUCUAAGGUUAUUGAUAUUUCCCCUGGCAAUCUUGAUUCCGGCUGUGCUUCAUCCUGCCCGGCAUUUCACUUGAUGUACUUUGUUCUUGUAUUCCCUGAAAAUUGCCAGUUGGGUCCAGAAAUUUGAUCAGACUCAUGUUAGAUCCCUUUGGCAAGACUGCCAGUGCUAUUACAUUCUUCAAUCAGGACACUCCUAAUGUCUGGUUUCUUUUUGUGGUGUUGGCAGCUGUUGAUAUUCAGUGCCUCGAUCCUUUAAUUCAUUGAUACUCUUAACUCAUUAUUUCUUCAUUUUUAAGUUGUAAUAUUUUUUAUAGUGAAAUGUUGUGAUUCAUCUACUAUUUGGACACUUGCUGGUACAAGUUUAUAUGGGAAAGGUAGAAUAAAUAAUUGAUUCUUGCCCUGUGCUUACCACCUUUGUUGAGAUAAAAUCCCCACACUGUGUUUCACCUUUUGAAAGUGUACAAUUCAGUGGCUUUUGUGUACGUUCAUGAAGUUGUGUGCAUCAAUUUAAGAAAUUGUCAUUACCCCAGAAAGAAACCCCACAUCCUUUAGCCAUCUCUUCCCAUUCUUCCCCCCAGCCUAUUGGACAGUCGCUAUAAAUGAAAUCAUUCAGUCUGUGCUCCCUUAUGACUGACCUCUUUCACUUAGUGCGUGAUGUUUUCAGGGUUCAUCUGUGUUGUGCUGUGUGUCAGUACUUGGUUUAUUUUCAUGCUGAACCACCAUUGUACUGCAUUUUGUGUGCACAUUCACCAGCUGAUGGAAUUUGUGCCGUUCCUGCUUUUUGGCUGUUACGUUACCGCUGUGAACGUUUCUGUGGGUUUUGUGUUUCUACAUAAGUGUUUUGAAACCAGAACCAUGUUUUGGUUGCCCUUGUAUUUUCCCAGGAGAGGAAUUGCCAGAGCAUAUAUAAUUCCAUACCCAUAUAAUCUGGGAUAGUUUCCUCAAAUAUUUUGUUAUAGCAAGACAUUCCAGGUUCAUCUUGUACUCUUCCUUUUAAUCUUCAUUCAUGCUUAGUUCUGCAGGUAACUUUAUUUGUAUUGUUCACUUGAAAGUGAAAGUAUUGGUCGCUCAGUCCGACCCUCUGCAACCCCAAUAGCCCGUCCAGGCUCCUCUGUCCAUGGAAUUCUCCAGACAAGAAUACUGGAGCAGGUGGCCAUUCCCUUCUCGAGGGAGUCUUCCCAGCCUAGAAGUUGAACCCAGGUCUCCCGUAUUGCAGGCAGAUUCUUUUCCGUCUGAGCCACCAGGGAAGUAUUGUUCACUGAAAGUUGAAAGCAUUAGUCACUCAGUUGGGUCCUACUCCUUGCGACCCCAUGAACUGUAACCCACCAGGCUCGUUUGUCCAUGGAAUUUUACAGGCAGGAAUACUGGAGUGGGUUGCCAUUUCCUCCUCCAGGUGAUCUUCCUGACCCAGGGAUGGAAUCCAGGUCUCCUGCAUUGCAUGCGGGUUCUUUACUGUCUGAGCCUCUGGUGCUUGUGUUGAAGUCUCUGAGUCAUUUUGUUUGAAGUUCUCUUGAAGAUCAUGGAAACAGUAUUGUCUGAUUUCUUGAAGGAUAAUAGUUUGUGCCCUUUAUCCCCAAGGUCGGUUUGGGGCUGUAAAAUACUUGGCUCUUGCUUUCUUUUCUUGAGUAUCUUAAAUUUAUGUAAACUUUUUUCUUUUCUGGUAUAAAGCAUUGCUGGCAGUUUGGGUGGUGGUCUAAUUUUCUUUUUUUUUUUUUUUUUGCCUAAGUAGCUCGGGAGUUUAUUUUUCCCUUUAAACUUAGUAGUCUCAGUACAGUGCGUUUUUGUGUUGGCUGUUCUAGGUUGAUACGAUCAGAUGUGUGAUGUGCUCUUGGAAUAUGUGGUUUCAUAUCCUUUUUACUUAGGUUUUAUGUUACGAAUUGGUUUUUUAAUGUCUGUUCGGAGGUGAGUUAGCUUUUCGGUGUUUUUUAAUUGUGGUAAAAUAUAGCAUAAAUGUGACAUUUAAGCCACUUUUAAAGUGUAUUAGUUCAGUGGCGUUAAGUACAUUCACAUGGUUGUGUAGCCAUCACCACCAUCCAUCCAUCUCUAGAACUUUUUUAUCUUUACAAACUGAAACCAUUCAUUAAUCAAACUUCACAUUUCUCCUUUCCCUCAGCAACCACCAUUCUACUUUGUCUAUGAAUUUCACUCUUUUUGGUACCUCUUAUAAGUAGACUCUUCAAAUAUUUGAACUUUUGUGUCUGGCUUACUUCACUUUACAUACUGUUUUCAAGAUUCAUCUUUGUUGUAACAUGUGUCAUAAUUCCCUUCCUUGGCUAAAGCUGAGUAUGUACCACAAAUUGUAUCACAAUUUGUUGAUCCAUUUUAAUCUGUCACUGGACAGAUGUAUAGCUAUUAUAAACAUGAGUGUACAAAUUGCUCAGUUCCUUACUAUCAGUACUUUGGGGUAUGUACCCAGAUACAGAAUUACUGGAUCACAUUGUAAUUCUGUUUUAAUGUUUUGAGAAACUGCCAUCCUGUUUUCCCCAGCACCAGCAGCAUCUCAUAUUCUAGCUAGUAAUGCACACAGAUGUUAGCUUCACAUCCUCUAAGGCUCACUCUUUUCUGGUUUUCUGAUAAUAACCAUCCUCAUGGGUGUGAAGUGAUUGAACUUUUGAUUUGCAAUUUUCUGGUGACUACUGACAUUGGACACCUUUUCAUGUGUUUAUUGGCCAUUUAUAUGUAUUCUGUGGGGAAACAUCUAUUCAAGUCCGUUGUCCAUAUUUUAGUUGGGUGUUGUUACUUUAUGUGAGUUCUUCAUAUACUCUAAAUAUUAAUCCAUUAUCAGAUACAUGAUUUGCAAGUAUUUUCUCCUAUUCUAUAGGCCAACUUCUCUUUUUUUCCUAAUGCACAAGAGUUUUUAAUUUUGAUGAUGUGCAGAUUACCUAGUUUUCUUUUGCUGCUUGUGCUUUUGGUAUCAUAUCAAAGUAAUCAUUGCCAAAUCCAGAAUUUAAGAAGUUUUUCCCAUCAUCUUCUAAGUUUUAUAGUUUUAGUUCUUACAUUUAGGUCUUUGAUCCAUUGUGAGUUAAUUUUUGUAUAUAGUAUAAGGUAAAGGUCUCAUUUUUUUUCAUGCAAGUAUUCCAUUUUCUCAGUACCUUUUGUUGAAUUUUUUUUUAAGAAAUUGUUUUGUUGCUGUUUUGGCCGCUCUGGGUCUUCAUUGCUUUUGUGGACGUUUCUCUUGUUGCAGAGCACAGGCUCUAGAUGCAUGGGUUUCAGUAGUUGCAGCACGCUGGUGCUACUGCCGCUAAGUAGCUUCAGUCGUGUCCGACUCUGUGUGACCCCAUGGACCACAGCCUACCAGGCUCCUCCGUCCAUGGGAUUUUCCAGGCAAGAGUACUGGAGUGGGGUGCCAUUGCCUUCUCCAAGUUGCAGCACGAGGCCUCAGUAGUUGUAGUGCUUAGUUGCUGCAGGGCUUAGUUGCUGCAGGCAUGUGAAAUCCUUCCGGACCAGGGAUCGAACCUAUGUCCCCGGCGUUGGCAAGUGGAUUCUUACCCACUGUGCCACCAUGGAAGUCCCUGAAGUGUGUCUUUCUAGCACGAUUUUUGAUGCUUAGGGACAACUCUUAUUUUUUUCUUACAGUGUCUUUGUAUGACCUAGAUACUUGUUAUCGAACUCUUUUGAGAGCUUUAAUAAGUAGAUGUGCUUCAGGGGAGCUUUUCUAGCUUCACUUUUCCUUUGUGUAGUAUUCAGAAAUGUAGCAGGUUUCUUUUUCUGUUCUGGAAUCCUUUUUCUGUGAGUCUUUGCUGAAGCUGCACCAUUAGCAUUUUUCCUUAACUAUGGUCAUAGUCCCAAAUUCUAAGCUGCAAUACCUAGAACUAGUUGGAUAUUUGUUAAUGAAGCAUCUUCAAGGCACAGAAAAUAGUUAAUUCUAGUUUUAGGGGACAAGGGAGUGUUGGGACAGUUAAGGGAUAUGGGAGAAAUAGCCUCACCAGCCUGUGGGACCUAAAGAUGAAACCUAAAGAUAUAUUAGAACAAGCUUGUUGACAAUGUAUUAGCAAGUAGAAAACAGACUUGGAGUUCUUUGCUUCUGUUAGGGCUUUUUUUUUUUUUUUGAUUAGGAGAUUGAAAAGUAACAAAAUGACUAUGGCUUUUACUUAAAUACAGAUGUAUGCACAAAGUUUAUGCAGUAAAUUAAUUACUUAAAGAAUAAAGACAAAAAUGAUUUAUUUGAAACUGACGGUGAUCUAACCAUUUUCGGUGACUUAACAAUCACCUAGGCUUUUUGUUAAUGCAAACUGACCUUGCCUCCAGCUAUCAAGGUUGAAGCCAGCAAUGAGAGUGAAGAGUGUCAGCAGCGAGAGCAUCAUGAGCAGGCGGGGAAGACAGUGGCCAGGAAUGGGCUGGAGGAGGAUAGAGAAAGGAGGGAGUCAGACUGAGAGGAAGAAAUCAAAACAUACAAAGGCAUAGAAAAAGAGAAGUGUGGAAAAACAAUUGGAGUGAGAAGAGAAGAGUUACAAGUGUAAUCGUUAAAAUGCGGAAACUGAACCACAAAGAAAAUAAGUAAUUUGCCUAGGCUAGUCAGAUAACAGAGCCAGGAUUCCACUGAGACAGUCUGACUACUAUGCUACAGCUGACUUGAUCACCUCUACCUCCCCCUUUCCAUCAUUUGUAUGCCCUGAUGGAGUAAGAUGUUUGCAGGCAGUAGAGGAGGAAAUGUGAGUGGAGUUAGUGGAUUUCACCAGGAACUUUGGAAGAGUGUUGGGUAUUAGUGUUGCUCUGAAGGAGAAUGAGACUUGAACACUAUUUAGAGGGAGAACAGAAAGACUUCUGUUAGGGAUGUGGGUAAAUAAACAAGGAACCUACCCUGAAGAUCAAUGUUAAGCUCCUCUAAUGCUUUUUUUUUUUUUUUUAAUUUUUGUAGAAUUUUAGAAUCAUUCACUAGUACGCGUUUUGUGAAUCCAUUGAGACUAUCUUCUAAGGUGAAGGACUGUGUGACUUGAAAGUUCUUCUUGAUAUCAAGGUUUACAAAAAGUCUGAAAAGGAUGGAGCUGAUACUAGGAGUCCUAAGAGAUUUUUACCAAGAAAAACUCAUUGGAGAUUUUCAGAAGUGCCUUUUAGGAAAGUUAAGAGAAAUUAUCUGGCAGUUAGGCAAACAGUUUAUUAAGUUCAGCCUAAUUUGACUUUUCACUUGAGCCUCUAUGCUUCACUCUCUGACAGAUAGUUCUAAUAUUUGAAUUUUGGCGUAGCCAUUCCCCUUUUAGACAUGAAUGAGAUAAUAAAUGAAAGAUUGUGGGAAACUGAAAGUAUAUUCAUUUUAUUGGUUCUUGGAUUUCAUACCUUGGCAUUGGCUCUUAGAUUUUUAUAAUAUUUGGAAUACUGUGAAAUUAAUAUUGGUGCCUUUAUAUGGAUUAUCCACAUGUCAUUCAUUAAGUAUUGUGAACAGCAGCUGCACAAUGCUAGAUAAUGGGAACACAAGUGAAUAAUUUAGUCUCUGUGUUCAAGCUUCUUCUAGACUGGUAGGGCAGGCAAAUACAAUAAACCAGAAUUUAGAGUACAGUGUAAGGACAAUGGCAGAGGAAUGUACUGUUUCCUAUUGAAUAAAGAAGAGCAUUUCGCUCUGAUUCCAGAAGUUGGGAGGAUGUGAUCUUUUGAGAUAGGUAAGCUGUUAAAUAGCAAAGGAAUUAAUCAAACUAGGUAACAGUCGUAAGAAAUUUUCGGUAUGUAGAAAAAAAUGACAGAACAGAUGGAAGGUAAUUGUCUAUUCUAAGUUAUCUUACACUUUUUACAUCUUAGGAACCCCCCUGCCCUGGAUCACUGCUAUAUAACUGGUAUUUCAAGAAUACUGACUAAUUUUGGUAUUGCUUGAUUAAAUCAGUUUAGUCUACAUCCAUGAAAACUAAGUAUAAGUUGCUUUUUUGAGCAUUCUCAAUUUUUUAAUCCUUCCUUGUCAUUUUAAUUUUAAAAGACUGAAAUAAAUUCAGUCUUUAAAAGACUGAAAGUCCAAGGUGGACUUAUUCAGUCUAUUUAAGGUAACAUUAUUUUUGAUUGUUUAGAGCCAAACUCACUUAAUUUUAGGUCUGUUUUAAAGAUUUUUACGUAGUAAGACAACUUCAUAAAGUCAUUUUUACUCCAUUUACUUAUCUGCAAAUGCAGUUGGAUUAGAGAAGGCCCCUUUCAAAACCAAAAUCCAAGGAUUAAGUUUUAUGUCUCAGGAGUGAUAUUUGUAAGUUGUUUGAAGAGCUGUCAGAAGAAAGGGUCCAUCUUCCCUAUAUCAAGAUUUGUCUUUAUUUUGACUACCCAAAUCAUGUAACGGGAUUUUUGCCCUCUGUUCGCCUCCCGUCCUUCUUUUGGCAUUGUUUCUGUGUAGGGAUUGAUUACCCGUCUCCACGCAAUUAGAUGUUCAUCUCUUAAAAAAUAAUGUACCUGAAUCUUGACAUUUAGAAAUGAUCCUUUCAUGACCGAUUUCUUGUAUGGAAUCUUAGAAUGUUAGUAGAAUUUAACAUAUGCCAGUUCUCUGACUCAGCAGUUAUUUGGUUUAGUACUAACUUUUUGGAUAAAUAAUUGCUCAAAAUGCUAUUCUCUUAGUCAAUAUCUCUAUAGUGCUAUGUUCUUACAUUUCUAUUUCCAGUAGAUAACUUACUAAAGCUAAAACAAAUUGAUGAUUUCUUCAUCUCCAAUUGGCAAGGUUUCUACGCUAUUGGUUUGUCUUACAUGUUUAUUCCCUGAAUUUUUUAGGUACUUUUAAUAUUGCUUUAUUGAAGUAAUAGAGAAAUUAGGUAGCAGUUUCAUGUUCAGAAUCCUCUUAUUUUGUCUUGGAGAUUUCUUUUUCUCUCUUAAGUAAGAUGGUAUAGCUCUUAACCAAACAAUGAAGCAUUGAUUAAAAGAAUACCAGUGAGUGGGGACUGCCUUAAAAGAGGGAAAAUCUGACUAUACUUUACCCACUUUCUUUUUUUUUCUUUACUUUCUUCCUUCCUUUCUUUUUAAAGAGCUUUGGCUUUAUUAUUUUGCUUUAGUUUUUUUCCUCUACCUCCCCAGUGUGCACUAUUAUUGUUAUUUAAACUUUCUUUUAAAGUGUAAGUCUUUUCCUUUUAGAUUUCUACUUUUUAGAUUUUUACUUUGCAAGCAAGUAAAACAGAUUUUAUAGAUUGAAGUAACAAGUUAUAUCUAAUGAAUAACUUUCUAAAAACUUACAUCAAUCUUGUCAUAGCCCAGCUUCAGUUCACACUGUGAACAUUACAUUCCUUUUUUGCAUCCCCCCCCUUAGAAAGUAGAAGGUGUUCCCAAAAUGUGUGUGUUUUUAAAUCACCAAAUUUUGUCUU